rfam:Schistosoma margrebowiei strain Zambia genome assembly, scaffold: SMRZ_scaffold0000105
AUUAAGUUGAUGAGUCCAGAUUAGGACGCAACGCGCGUCCUGAAU